UACGGAGGGGACUAGCGUUGUUCGGAAUUACUGGGCGUAAAGCGCACGUAGGCGGAUUUGUAAGUCAGGGGUGAAAUCCCGGGGCUCAACCUCGGAACUGCCUUUGAUACUGCAAAUCUCGAGUCCGGAAGAGGUGAGUGGAAUUCCACGUGUAGCAGUGAAAUGCGUAGAGAUGUGGAGGAACACCGAUGGCGAAGGCAGCCUCCUGGGCCAGCACUGACGCUCAUGCACGAAAGCGUGGGGAGCAAACAGG
rnacentral:rRNA from 1 species